rnacentral:rRNA from 1 species
GGACUACUCGGGUUUCUAAUCCUGUUUGCUCCCCACGCUUUCGCGCCUCAGCGUCAGUAGUGAACCAAGAAGCCGCCUUCGCCAUUGGUGUUCCUCCCGAGAUCUACGCAUUUUACCGCUACUCCGGGAAUUCCACUUCUCUCUUUCACCCUCUAGCUCGCCAGUUUUUAUUGCUAUUCCUCAGUUAGGCCGAGGUCUUUAACAAUAAACUUAACAAGCCGCCUACGCGCCCUUUACGCCCAAUAAUUCCGAAUAACGCUUGCACCUCUCGUAUUACCGCGGCUGCUGGCAC